AGAAGGUUGGAUAGUCCAUCCCUUUCUCCAAAGCCAGGACCAGAGUAUGUGUGGAGACAUCUGGGAGUGUGCCUAGAGCUGGAUGCCAGCAGUGGUGGUGUGGAGCUUAUGUGGCACAGUAUGAGCAGCCCUGGAGAGGCUUUCUCAACACUGCUGACUGCCCACUACAGGAUUUGGCAUUUCUACUUGUUGAACUUCAUGAUAGCCAGAAGACCUCACCCUUAAGAACAAAAUGUCUGCACAGCAUUUUUCUGGGAAUUGGCAGCUCCGAUCCAGCUUGGUACAUCCUGUGAGAGCACUCUCAGAGCUACAGAUUUUCACAGCAUUCCUAAUAUUAAAGAUAUGAAUUCCUAAUA